rnacentral:rRNA from 1 species
GACGAACGCUGGCGGCGUGCUUAACACAUGCAAGUCGAACGAGUGGCGGACGGGUGAGUAAUGUCUGGGAACCUGCCCGAUGGAGGGGGAUAACUACUGGAAACGGUAGCUAAUACCGCAUACCAUCGGAUGUGCCCAGAUGGGAUUAGCUAGUAGGUGGGGUAACGGCCCACCUAGGCGACGAUCCCUAGCUGGUCUGAGAGGAUGAUCCGCCACACUGGAACUGAGACACGGUCCAGACUCCUACGGGAGGCAGCAGUGGGGAAUGUUGCACAAUGGGCGCAAGCCUGAUCCAGCCAUGCCGCGUGUAUGAAGAAGGCCUUCGGGUUGUAAAGGACUUUCAGCGGGGAGGCGGUACUCGCAGAAUAAGCACCGGCUAACUCCGUGCCAGCAGCCGCGGUAAUAC